UGAGUAACGCGUGGGUAACCUACCCCAAAGUCCGGGAUAACAGCGGGAAACCGCUGCUAAUACCGGAUGUCUUUACCUUGGGGCAUCUUGAGGUAAAGAAAGGUAACGCUUUGGGAUGGGCCCGCGUCCCAUUAGCUAGUUGGUGAGGUAACGGCUCACCAAGGCGACGAUGGGUAGCCGGCCUGAGAGGGUGGACGGCCACACUGGGACUGAGACACGGCCCAGACUCCUACGGGAGGCAGCAGUAGGGAAUAUUGCGCAAUGGACGGAAGUCUGACGCAGCGACGCCGCGUGAGCGAUGAAGGUCUUCGGAUCGUAAAGCUCUGUCCUUGGGGAAGAAGGUCUUCGGACUUGACGGUACCCAAGAAGAAAGCCCCGGCUAACUACGUGCCAGCAGCCGCGGUAAUACGUAGGGGGCGAGCGUUGUCCGGAAUUACUGGGCGUAAAGGGUGCGUAGGCGGCCCUUUAAGUCGGAUGUGAA
rnacentral:rRNA from 1 species